UAUUUACAUUCAUAUAUGUAUUUCCUCUUAUCCUUAUUUUUUUAAUCAGCUAUGUGCAUUUACGUCAUCUCCAAUUAGUAGAACGCAAUUAUUUUGAUGAGAUAUUUAUCGAAUUGCUAUUAUCAUUGUGAUUUAUAUUAUUGCGUUCUCAUAGAAGUGAUUGUGAAUGAUGAUAGUUUCAAAUAAUUUUACUGUUUUCUGUUUAAUCGAUCCUAUUGUACUGAUCAUCAGGAUUUGCAACGGAGCAUCCACAGAUAUUGUAUUGAAGGCCACAGCACAAUUCCUAUAUCAUCUAGAUAACCUCAAUCUGCUGCUGUAUACAUUUGUGCUGAUAUUAACUACCUUGACUAUCUAGACGUUCAAACAUCGCAUUCUUCAUGGAAAAGGUCUUGCUGUAAUUUAUGGUCUAAUUAUGGAAGAGAUUAUUCGAUGCGAAUUAAAUACAAGCCUUAGAAAAAAUACGAUUCAUCAUAUGCUAGUCGUGCUAGAUGUCGUAGUCGCAGCAAACACAACCUGCCGGUACCACCAAAAUCGUUGUGGCUAUAAUAGUUCAACUCGAUACAGGAUAAUUGCUCACAGGUAGAUGCAGGAAGUAUGGGUGGAAGUAGCUGGAUUUUAUUAGGAUACAAAUCAUCUUUGAUGUCGUGGGUGCGACCUAAUGAAAAGGCUUUUCUGUCGAGGAUUUGGAAUGACUUUGACACUUGUCACAUGAAGCCACUCCUGAUACGCUCACGACUGACUUGGUCUGUUUGCUGUACGCUUCUCGCUACACUUCUUACAAAAGCUCAGCAAUUAUCUCAGGAGGAAUUAAAUAAUGUGAAAAGAGCUGAUUCAGAUUCAUUUCUAGCAAGCUUGUGGCAAUGUGAUCGAGUAGAGAGGAGGGAAGGAGCAGGUGAUUGUAACACCGAAAGUCAACUCCGGUAAGUUUUCACCAGUUAAAUAAUUUAAAUUACACUGUUAACCUGCGCUAUCAGUCAAAUAACAAUUCUGAAUUUCUUAAAUCAACUAUAACAACAAUUAAUGAUCCACAUUAAUUUUAAAUUGCAUAGAAGAUAGACAUAGCUUUUUUAUUGUUGUUA